rnacentral:rRNA from 1 species
GAGCGCCCCGCAAGGGGAGCGCAGACGGGAGAGUAACACGUGGGAACGUGCCCUUUGGUUCGGAACAACACAGGGAAACUUGUGCUAAUACCGGAUAAGCCCUUACGGGGAAAGAUUUAUUGCCAAAGGAUCGGCCCGCGUCUGAUUAGCUUGUUGGUGAGGUAACGGCUCACCAAGGCUACGAUCAGUAGCUGGUCUGAGAGGAUGAUCAGCCUCACUGGGACUGAGACACGGCCCAGACUCCUACGGGAGGCAGCAGUGGGGAAUAUUGGACAAUGGGCGCAAGCCUGAUCCAGCCAUGCCGCGUGGAUGAUGAAGGCCUUAGGGUUGUAAAGUCCUUUCGGCGGGGAAGAUAAUGACGGUACCCGCAGAAGAAGCCCCGGCUAACUUCGUGCCAGCAGCCGCGGUAAUACGAAAGGGGGCUAGCGUUGCUCGGAAUCACUGGGCGUAAAGCGCACGUAGGCGGCUUUCUAAGUCAGAGGUGAAAUCCUGGGGCUCAACUCCAGAACUGCCUUUGAUACUGGAGAGCUUGAGUCCGGGAGAGGUGAGUGGAACUGCGAGUGUAGAGGUGUAAUUCGUAGAUAUUCGCAAGAACACCAGUGGCGAAGGCGGCUCACUGGCCCGGUACUGACGCUGAGGUGCGAAAGCGUGGGGA